UGGAACAGUUGCAAUGAGACGAUUGAUAUUUGGUGGUUGAAUAAAUAUGUGAUAAAUAUCUGCAGUAUUAUCCAGCCCUCACUUAUGCCCUCAGGAGCUUGCUACACCUUCAAUAGCCUUCCAGGCAAUCAACUCUUCCGGAAAUCCAUUUUCUCCUCGUGAUUCUGCAUAGCCCCGCAGAGGCGCCCACCCUUUCUCAUCCUUCGAUAUACGUGCGCACUGAUUGCUUGACCACCAUCUCAAUUGUCCCAGAGAUCAAAACAACUAAAGAGGAGUUAAGAAGAUGGGACCCGACACUGAGAGGUUGCUUUUUUGAAGAUGAAAGGCCGCUUCAGUAUUUUCAGUACUACACAGAGAAAAACUGUGACCUGGAAUGUGGAAGUAACGCAUCGCUAUCACGCUGCGGUUGUGUGCCUUUCUAUUAUCCACGUACAAGAGAUAUUCCUGUUUGUACCAUGGAAGCAAUUAACUGCUUCAUGGAUAGUAUAGUUACAUCUCUGGAUCCAGAUACAUCCACGUAUCAAGAUUGUAACUGCUUACCUGCUUGCUUUGAAGUUGAUUACAGGAUAAGUGUUACAAACUUCAGACGGAAUUUAUCAGCAAUACAAGCCAAAGUACCCUUUGUACCCUUUAUUAAC